rnacentral:rRNA from 1 species
UACGAAAGGUGCAAGCGUUACUCGGAAUCACUGGCGUAAAGCGCACGUAGGCGGACUCGUAGGUCAAUUGUGAAAUACCUGGGCUCAACCCGGGAACUGCAGUUGAAACCGCUUGUCUUGAAUACCUGAGAGGGUGGGGGAAUACCUGGUGGAGAAGUGAAAUUCGUAGAGAAUCAGGUGGAACACCGGAGGCGAAGGCGCCUGCCUGGCAGUGUAUUGACGCUGAGGUGCGAAAGUGCGGGAGCAAACAGGAUUAG